UAGGCGUAAAUGAUGCGAGUUAAGUGUGGGGGCAUCUACGAGAUGGCCCUGUGCUGUAGGGUAGCCGUUAAACUCGCUGCCUGGGAAGUACGGUCGCAAGGCUGAAACUUAAAGGAAUUGGCGGGGGGAGCACCACAACGGGUGGAGCCUGCGGUUUAAUUGGACUCAACGCCGGGAAGCUCACCGGAUAAGACAGCGGAAUGAUUGCCGGGCUGAAGACCCUGCAUGACCAGCUGAGAGGUGGUGCAUGGCGUAGUCGUGU
rnacentral:rRNA from 1 species